rnacentral:rRNA from 1 species
UACGUAGGGUGCGAGCGUUGUCCGGAAUUAUUGGGCGUAAAGGGCUCGUAGGCGGUUUGUCGCGUCGGGAGUGAAAACCUCGGGCUUAACUCGGGGCUUGCUUUCGAUACGGGCAGACUAGAGGUAUGCAGGGGAGAACGGAAUUCCUGGUGUAGCGGUGAAAUGACGCAGAUAUCAGGAGGAACACCGGUGGCGAAGGCGGUUCUCUGGGCAUGAUCUGACGCUGAGGAGCGAAAGUGUGGGGAGCGAACAGG